rnacentral:lncRNA from 1 species
UGGGUUUUGAGUGAAAUCCAAUCUCUACAACUAUGUAAUACACCAACCACUUCAUUUCAGAACGAAAUUCGUAUGAACCUAAAUUUUAAAAUUGCAUUGACCAAUCGAUAUCGGAUUGAGUCCAAAACGUGGGGAGCAUCAUACUAUGGUGCGUGGAGUCAUUUGGUGGCUGUUGAGUGAAAUCCAAUCUCUACAACUAUGCAAGAC